UGGGGUUGUUUGGCGAAAGUCAAUAUACCAAUUCCCAAGAAGCGCAAGCUUGGACCAAAAACUGUGGAUUGUGUUCUUCUGGGCUAUGCUUUUCAUAGCAUCGGCUAUAGAUUUUUGAUAAUAAAAUCUGAGGUAUCCGACAUGCAUGUUGGUACGAUUAUGGAGUCAAAUGAUGCAACUUUCUUUGAGGACAUAUUUCCUAUGAAGGAUAUGUCGAGUUCAUCAAAUCAGGAGAUACCUACUCCAUCUAGUGAGGAAUUCACUGUAAUUCCUCAACCCACCAUUGCGAUGGAACACGUUGAGAAUCCUGUUGAGGGUAACAAUGGAACUCCUGUGAGGAGUAAGAGACAAAGGACUGCAAAGUCUUUUGGUGAUGAUUUCAUUGUGUACCUCGUGGAUGACACACCCAGGACUAUUUCAGAAGCCUAUGCAUCUCCUGAUGCUGACUACUGGAAGGAAGCUGUACGUAGCGAGAUGGAUUCCAUCUUAGCUAACGGUACCUGGAAGAUCACUGACCAUCCAUAUGGGUGCAAACCUGUAGGAUGUAAGUGGGUGUUCAAGAAGAAGCUUAGACCUGAUGGUACGAUUGAAAAGUACAAGGCACGGCUUGUGGCCAAGGGUUAUACCCAGAAAGAAGGUGAAGACUUCUUUGAUACUUACUCACCCGUGGCUAGACUGACCACAAUUCGGGUGCUACUAUCACCGGUCGCCUCACAUGGUCUUCUCGUUCAUCAAAUGGACGUUAAGACGGCUUUCCUUAAUGGAGAGUUGAAGGAGGAAAUUUACAUGGAUCAGCCAGAUGGUUUUGUAGUACCUGGUCAGGAAGGAAAGGUGUGCAAGUUAUUAAAGUCUUUAUAUGGCCUUAAACAAGCUCCUAAGGAGUGGCAUGAGAAGUUCGAAAGAACAUUAACUGCUGCCGGCUUUGUAGUAAACGAUGGUGACAAGUGCGUGUACUAUCGCUAUGGUGGGGGCGAAGGAGUUAUUCUUUGUCUGUAUGUCGAUGACAUAUUGAUCUUUGGAACCAAACUUGAUUUAAUCAAGGAGGUUAAGGAUUUCUUAUCUCGCUGUUUUGAGAUGAAGGAUCUAGGAGUACCUGAUGUUAUCUUAAACAUCAAGCUGUUGAGAGAUGAGAAUGGUGGGAUCACACUGCUUCAGUCUCAUUAUGUGGAAAAGGUCUUGAGUCGUUUUGGGUAUAGCGACUGCACGCCCUCUCCAACUCCAUAUGAUGCUAGUGUGUUGCUUCGAAAGAAUCGACGGAUUGCUAGAGAUCAACUGAGGUAUUCUCAGAUUAUUGGCUCGCUUAUGUAUUUGGCGAGUGCCACGAGGCCUGACAUCUCUUUUGCUGUGAGCAAGCUGAGUCGGUUUGUGUCAAAACCGGGAGAUGAUCAUUGGAAUGCGCUUGAGAGAGUUAUGCGCUAUUUGAAAGGCACCGCGAGCUAUGGGAUUCACUACACUGGGUAUCCAAGGGUACUGGAGGGUUAUAGUGACUCAAACUGGAUAUCUGAUGCUGAUGAGUUUAAGGCCACAAGUGGUUAUGUUUUUACACUUGGUGGUGGCGCUGUU
rnacentral:rRNA from 1 species